GCAGACUCCGGCACACGCACAUGGAAUAUACCUGAGAGGAUGGGACGUGGAUUCAGUGUUUUUAUCCUAACAAACAACAAAUCCAAUAUUUCUCUACAACUCCAUGGAGAACGUUGCUGCAUGUUCUCACCUGUCUUGGGGUCCACAGAAAAAUAGGGCUGUCCAUGAACAAUGCUGUAGACGACGCGAGCACUGUUACCGUAUGACGAAUCAUCUGCAUCUGUGGCUGUCACCUGUGUCACCCUUCACCACCACUGUUCCACAGCGUGAGUCUGUUUCUGUGCCCCAGCUGGAGGUCUGGAGGUCUCGGGCUUCUUUUCUGAGACAACACUGCCGCUCGUCAACAGAGCUGGGCGACUUGGUCAAGAGCUGCUGCCACAGACAAAGAACUGGUUCCAUACCCAUCCUCUUUUUGUGCGACGAGUCUUCGAUCUCCAGUGUCUCCUGAGCCUUGGUCCAUCCCCUAAUUUUGCCCUGGUGGACAUCCUCAUGUCUUUGGCGUUAUUUGCCCCCCUGCUUUCCAUCGUCGUACCCAUUUCUCUGCUGAGGGUAUUCGGGGAGCAGCCAUCCAGGAGGAAACAAAAGCCCACGAGAAGAAGAGCCAGCGGCCUGUCUCUCUGCCUGGGAUUAGGAAGGCGUGUGAAUCAAAGUGGGGAAAAGCGACGGAGAGCAAGAAGAAGAAAAAUGUUUGGAGAAGCUGAAGAAGGAAACACCCGUCACACCUCGGCUUCCUGUUUGAAGACCCAUGGUGCAGAUGUUGUGGCUGUGUUCCGUGCUGCCUGACCACUCACCGCUGCGUGCACAGAGACACUCACAGACAUGGAGAUGAUGCUGCCAGGGUUGUUCCAAAACUCUGACCCAGGUCAGAUUCCUGGAUGUUCUCUGACGUUCCUGGAUGUUCUCUGACGUUCCUGGAUGUUCUCUGACGUUCCUGGAUGUUCUCUGACGUUCCUGGAUGUUCCUGGUCAACAUGUUGCUCCUCUUAACAGUCCACAGAUUUUUCCACCACCAGAGUGAAGGCGUCUGGUCAAGCAGGACCAACAUUAUCAGAACCGUGGCCCAAAGAACCAGCUGCACGGACUCGCUCGCCCUCCUGGCAGUCGUUAGAGAGAAACCUAUCUGCACACAUUUUACAGUGCGGCGCCGCUCAGCGUCGUUCGAUGACACACCGUGUGACACCUGUCAUUCUCUGUUGCUCCGACUAUUUUCUGCUGUGGAGACAUUUUCCAAUCGCUUCAGGUUGUUACAGUUGUAUCAGUUCCACUGCAGUGAAAACAUCCGCACUGCUGACUCGCCACUUCAGCGAGUUCAAUGGCUAACUUUUAUGCAGUCAAAUGUUAUAUAUGUGACUAGAACUGUAAGGAAUUACAAACAGAUUUUUUAUAUUUAUUUAUAUACACUAUGUAUAAUAUCUGUGUGUGUAUGUAUAUAUCAAUAUAUUGUGAAUAUUUUAUGUAAAUAUUCAUAAAGUAAUACAUAAGAACUGACUGCUUUGGCAGUUUGGUGGCAGACUUUUCACCAACAGUCAGUGUCAGUUGCUCAGUAACUGUUGUAUGUUGAUACAGUGAUCGAUAGAAUCUGAAUGCUUCCCUGAUUGAAAUGUAUUUCUCUGGAAGUUUUUAUAUAAAUUUGAAAUAAAACACACAUCAGUGGUA